UACGUAGGGGGCAAGCGUUGUCCGGAUUUACUGGGCGUAAAGGGCGCGUAGGCGGCGCGGUAAGUCACUUGUGAAAUCUCUGAGCUUAACUCAGAACGGCCAAGUGAUACUGCAGUGCUAGAGUGUGGAAGGGGCAAUCGGAAUUCUUGGUGUAGCGGUGAAAUGCGUAGAUAUCAAGAGGAACACCUGAGGUGAAGACGGGUUGCUGGGCCAACACUGACGCUGAGGCGCGAAAGCCAGGGGAGCAGACGGG
rnacentral:rRNA from 1 species